rnacentral:rRNA from 1 species
GCAGCAGCCACGGUAAUACAGAGGGUGCGAGCGUUAAUCGGAUUUACUGGGCGUAAAGCGUGCGUAGGCGGCUUCUUAAGUCGGAUGUGAAAUCCCUGAGCUUAACUUAGGAAUUGCAUUCGAUACUGGGAAGCUAGAGUAUGGGAGAGGAUGGUAGAAUUCCAGGUGUAGCGGUGAAAUGCGUAGAGAUCUGGAGGAAUACCGAUGGCGAAGGCAGCCAUCUGGCCUAAUACUGACGCUGAGGUACGAAAGCAUGGGGAGCAAACAGGAUUAGAUACCCCGGUAGUCCUGUCUCUUAUACA